GAUGAACGCUGGCGGCGUGCCUAAUACAUGCAAGUCGAGCGAACAGAUGAGGAGCUUGCUCCUCUGACGUUAGCGGCGGACGGGUGGGUAACACGUGGAUAACCUACCUAUAAGACUGGGAUAACUUCGGGAAACCGGAGCUAAUACCGGAUAAUAUAUUGAGCCGCAUGGUUCAAUAGUGAAAGACGGUUUUGCUGUCACUUAUAGAUGGAUCCGCGCCGCAUUAGCUAGUUGGUAAGGUAACGGCUUACCAAGGCAACGAUGCGUAGCCGACCUGAGAGGGUGAUCGGCCACACUGGAACUGAGACACGGUCCAGACUCCUACGGGAGGCAGCAGUAGGGAAUCUUCCGCAAUGGGCGAAAGCCUGACGGAGCAACGCCGCGUGAGUGAUGAAGGUCUUCGGAUCGUAAAACUCUGUUAUUAGGGAAGAACAAAUGUGUAAGUAACUAUGCACGUCUUGACGGUACCUAAUCAGAAAGCCACGGCUAACUACGUG
rnacentral:rRNA from 1 species